rnacentral:rRNA from 1 species
CGUGUAGGCGGUUUCUUAAGUCUGAUGUGAAAGCCCCGGGCUCAACCUGGGAAGUGCAUUGGAUACUGGGAGACUUGAGUACGGGAGAGGGUAGUGGAAUUCCCAGUGUAGGAGUGAAAUCCGUAGAUAUUGGGAGGAACACCGGUGGCGAAGGCGGCUGCCUGGACCGAUACUGACGCUGAGACGCGAAAGCGUGGGGAGCAAACA